AGAGAGAGAGAGAGAGAAGAGGAGCUAAGAGGCACUGUAUUCCAUAACAUCGUGAUUGAUAGAAUAAUAGAAUGUGGAGAACCAACAAGUAUGGUUGAAGUGGAGGUAGAGUGUAGUUAGAUAUAGAUAAAGGUAGGGCCUGAGCGUGUGGGAGGGAGUGGGACGACAGAGGAGAUUAAAGUGUGAACAGUGAAGGGGUGUGGAGGUUUCACACAAGAAAGAGUUAUAAUCCGCUCCCAGCCUUCUCCUUUUUCAGACACCACUAACUUUCAUGGUGACCACAACCCAAACCUGAGACUGUAAAAGAAAGACAGACAGAUUGCUCAAGAAAAUAUUAUAAACAAGAAAUAUCUGGAUAACCUUUGGAAAUGUUAACUCAAGUCUUCACGAACCUGAAGCCACAACCAACUAGCAGCUGUGAUCAUUAACUAAAUCCAGAAAGGAAAAUAAAUCAAAGAAAAGAUCAGCUUUCUUCUUCAAACCUCUGUCAGCCGUCAUAAGUGAGGAUUUCAGUUUGACUGGAGAGUAGACAGAGGCAUACAGGGCUGUACUUUCCCAAUCAAGAUCAAUCCUGGACUAAAAUGUCUGCCCAAUCAGCAACGAUGGAGGACAUUCCACUGAAUGCUGUCCCAGGGACAGGUGAAAUGACAGAUGCCCAAAAUGACACCACCUGCCUUCAAGUGAUCACCUGCUGUGGUCAUGACCAUACUGUUCCCUCCUGUGCCAAGGACAGGGACUAUAGGAGACUGGCCAUUAGCAGCAUCAUCUGUGGACUCUCCUGCAUUGGCAUUUUAGCUUUGGUCAACUCAGUCAAGGCUCGAGAGGCAAGGAAGACGACUCCAGAGAAGGCUCAACAAUAUUCCCAAAAGGCAAGAAUGUUUGGGAUCAUUUCUAUUGUGGUGUGGGUGGUGAUUCUGGUUCUCAGCCCACUACUAUUGGUACUGGUGUCAUACCUACUCACUCUGAUAGACUGACCAAUUCCCAGGAACCACCAAGGUGGAUGUACUGUACCAUAAGGAUGGCUACAGGACAGCGCUCCAACUUCUUUAGUAUUGAUCUUGGACCGCCGUGACACUGUGAGGUGGGAACAGAUGGAAAAGCACCUCCAGUGACUCAGGGAGACUCCACUGUAUACAGCCUUCCUGAGUAUCACUCUGAUAAGGCUGUCUUGCUGAUAAGGAUUUACAAAGGCACCUUUAACUUCCUUUUGUGACAAUCUGGAAUUUAUCGCUGGAAGAAUGGUUUAUAGUUAACAUUCAAGUGAUACCAUAGCUAUAAAUACAUCAUAAAUAUUAAGAUAUUUUGACAUUUAUCAGUAGCCCAACCAGACUUUUAGCACUUAGAGUUAGGACUGUAGUCAAACUACCUUCUUCCUGAAUAAGAGGUCGGUUCGGAGACGAGAGAUGAGCAAGGGGACACAAAAUAACUACUUGUUUUUGAUAUAGCAUUUAAUGGACACGGUUUAUUUGCUGACAUACAUGAGUCCAAGACUGUAUGAGUAUAAAACAGCAGAUUUAAAAAAUCCUGUAUAAAUUCUAAACAAACUGUGAGGCACUAUACAGGGGCCUGACUCCAAAACACUCCCAUGUCCACCAUCUGUCUCAACCUUCACAUGUUACUUUUACCAUUUAUGAUAUGCAACAUCAACUUUAUUUUUUAACAAUGUUAGAUUUCUAUUUAGCUGUGAAAUAAAUUAUUUGUAUAUGUGAGGAACUAACUAUGAAUGUCUAAUUAUAAAGGACAGAUUGUGAACUAGGUAUAAUUAAAUCAGGGCAGUGUUUCUGAUUUACAGUAAUAGUGAAAACUGCCUUUGGUUUUAAAUACCAAAAAUGUACAAUACUUCAUUUUGGUUACAUUACCAUUUCUACAUUUACUGUAUUCAUGUUAUUGCAUUACUUUAUUGUAUUUUAUAUUUAUACAUUGCAUGUUUUAAAGGAUUUUGUAAUUAAAUGAAAAUACAUUUACAUCAAUUUGAUCUGAAUUAAGCUCCUUUUCAGGCUAUUUGCCUCAUUUGCAUUAAGUUAAUAUAGCUACAAAUACCUUUUACUUAAUAUGAAGUCACUCUCUAGCUGUAACAAGAAAUGCAUACAAAUACAUUUUUUCAAUACAAACCACACAGUAACGAGAAAUAUUUUCAGAAAUAUAAUUAGAACAAAACAUGUGAUGUAAUAGAAAAGUAAAUUGUAUAUACUAGCAAUUUUCAAUUAAAUGUUGCUAUCAAAACAAAUAUUACAAUCCACAAUGAUACAAAACAUUACACUAAUUGCAUUGAUCAAAAUA